AGCAGCCGCGGUAAUUCCAGCUCCAAUAGCGUAUAUUAAAGUUGUUGCAGUUAAAAAGCUCGUAGUUGAAUUUCGGGGUUAGUAGAUUGGUCAUGCCUCUGGUAUGUACUGGUCUCACUGAUUCCUCCUUCCUGAUGAACCUUAAUGCCAUUAAUUUGGUGUUUUGGGGAAUUUGGACUGUUACUUUGAAAAAAUUAGAGUGUUUAAAGCAAGCUAACGCUUGAAUACAUUAGCAUGGAAUAAUGAAAUAGGACGUUCGAUCCUAUUUUGUUGGUUUCUAGGAUUGACGUAGUGAUUAAUAGGGAUAGUUGGGGGCAUUAGUAUUCAAUUGUCAGAGGUGAAAUUCUUGGAUUUAUUGAAGACUAACUACUGCGAAAGCAUUUGCCAAGGAUGUUUUCAUUAAUCAAGAACGAAAGUUAGGGGAUCGAAGACGAUCAGAUACCGUCGUAGUCUUAACCAUAAACUAUGCCGACUAGGGAUCGGAUGAUGUUAAUUUUUUAAUGACUCA
rnacentral:rRNA from 1 species